AUGGAUAUAUCACGCUUCACCCUAUUUUGGGGUCGUAAUAAUCAGAAAAAUCAUGAACCGUGGAACAACAGGGCGCUCAUUGAAGGGUUUGCCGCUGCAAACUUCGCAACCAGACUCAGCUUUUAGCUGUACUGCCCCGCAUAAUUUCCUCCUAUCAACCAUCGCCUGCUACCACCGCAAAAACAUCGUUCCUCUUGCAGUCAGUACUGAAUUGGGAAGAGAUAAAAGGCUGCUACUAGAACCGAGAUCAGCAAUUGCGUUAUUUCCACCAUUCACCACGAGAUUUUUCCGGGUUUUUUAACCGCCAUCUGUUCCAAUUCUGAUAAUCCAGGCGGCAAAUGGAUUUGCGGUUCCUCACCAGAA